rnacentral:lncRNA from 1 species
GAUGAACUCAGAAUGUCUAGCCUUCGCCUCUGGCGUGGCGGCUAGGGUUUCGACAAGUCCGCGGAAGGUCCAACAAAGAUCCGUUUCGUGAACCAGGAGAACACAACGACCUGAUCUAGAGUUCAGGUUUCGCCGAACUAAUUAGUGGUUGCAUGUUUAUGUCCGACAACAGGAGGGCAAAGGUUGUGAUUGACGACUACCGGCGGCGAUCGGCCAUCGCUGCUGUCAGGGGCGGACUUAUAUGUGGCUUAAGGUGGGCGGGCGCACCCCCGGGAAAAAAAAAUUUAGUGCUAUUUUCCAUUGAAAAUCCCGUUCGCACCUCUUGGAUUUUUUCGUCCGCACCCCUUGAAUUUUUUCAUCCGCACCCCUUGGAAUUUUUCGUCCACACACCUUAGGACCUGAUGAAGAUGACCAAGUGGGUUUUGCUGAUGAAGAUGACAAAGUAGGUUUUGCUCUUCAAUUUGUUGUGAUGCUCAUUAUUAGGUGUAGUAGUAUAUAUAUUUUUUACAAACUUGAUCUUAUUAGUUUGUUUAGAAUUUGACUAAGUUGAUUUAGAUUAUUAAUUAUUAUACAUGGUUGUGUUUUGAGGCAUUUAUUCCAACUCAAAUCAAUAAACACGAUUAUAU